UCCAGGCCGACUGCCAGCAGGACGACCUCACCUUCCUGAUGGUAAUUCCCGCGUUCCCCAUGACCCACAAGAACCGCAAGCGGAGGUAGGUCCUGAUCCCGUCAUAUAUUCCCAUAUCCAUGGAAUUCCCAAAUCCAUGGGAAUUUGGGAAUGGCUGAGCCCUUCCCAGUGGCUGAAGUCCCUGCUCCACAAAAAUUCCAGCGUCUCCUGGGUGUUCCAGGCAGGAUGGCGGGGGCACAAAGCGGAAUUUUCGGGGUUUGUGGGAAGCGUUAAAUCCCAGAUUUUGUGGGAAUUUGAGGGAGGAUAAACUUGGGACAUGCCGAGUGCUUCAUCCCGAUUUUUUCUCCGCGGUCAUUCCUUGCUCCAGGAUUGCCUGCACGGCCGAGGAGCCGGAGGCUGUUCCCUCGGGAUUGCUCCUGGAUGUGGCCAAAUACCUGGGAUCGCUGCAGUACAACGUGUGGAAGAAGAUGUUGGACACCAUCUCCGCCGGUGAGGAGCCGGGAAUGUCGGGAAUGGGGUUUUCCAAGGGGUGGAAAAAUGGGAAAUGCAUUCCCAAUGGAGACAGGUUUUUCCUUAAAAUGGUGGUGGUGGGGUUUGGAAAGAUGGGAAAUGUGGAAGUGGAUUCUUCCCUAAAAGUGGUGGUGGGUCUGGAAAGAUGGGAAAUGUGGAAGUGGAUUCAUCCCUAAAAAUGGUGAUGGGUCUGGAAAGAUGGGAAAUGUGGAGAUGGGAUUGGGGAUUGGGGAAGUGAAGGGACGGGUUUGUUCCUCAGAAAGGGAAACUUGGGAAUGUGC
rnacentral:lncRNA from 1 species